CUGGUUGGAUGACCAGCUGGGAUUUGGUCCUUCAGGGAAAUGUUAUAUCGGGCCUCUUAAUAAAGUGAAGAGGAAAUGAUGGUCAACAACUUUUGGCUUAGAGCGGGUUUUUGGACCUUUUAAAUCUUCAUGUAUUUGAUGAUGAUCUUAUCCAAUGCAUCCGUGCCAUUCCUAUUACUCACGGUUCUAGCUCGGAGGACCUCAUUGCUUGGAAAUUCUCGCAAAAUGAUUGCACCAUUACAAAAGAGAACUUCGCUUGCUCAGAAAGACCAUGGAGACAGCCAAAAAACAGGUUUAGGCAUUGACCAGGGGGAAAAUGGCAGUGCAGAGGUCAGAGGCUAAAAGGAAGAGAUUGCCACCCUGAGGACAAAAGCGAAGAACCUGGAAAAUGAAUACGAGACAAAGGAUAAGGAAGCCAAGACAGCUGAAGCUGAAACCAAUGCUCUAAAGAAACAAUCUGAAGGCUUACUAGAGUAUGAUCAUCUGCUUGCAGACAACCAAAGCCUUCGAAGUCAGUUGGAGUCUAUUGAUCACUCCUUGUCCAAUUCUGACGGCAAGAAGAACACCUAACGAAGAGUUUUGCUGAGCGGGCGAGUUCUUGAUCUUGUUUCAUGAGUGCUUUCUGAUAUAGAUAUUGUUUUUAGCGUGGAAGACCGGAUGGCUGUCGUGUUGAAUGUACAAAGAAAAGAGCAAAACCUUGCAAUGAGUUCUGGAAACUUGUUUUAGGACGGAAAUCAGGUUUGUACUAGGUACUUGUCGAUCAUUCCUUAUAUAUUUAAUCAGUAUAGCCAGGCAGCAAAUGGGAAUCUCAGUUUCGCUUGAUCCAUAAUACUGAGUCUAUCCAAGUUUCCCGCUAAUAGUUGACUUACAUACUACUUUCAAUUUGA